UACGAAGGGUGCAAGCGUUACUCGGAAUUACUGGGCGUAAAGCGUGCGUAGGCGGUUCGUUAAGUCUGAUGUGAAAGCCCUGGGCUCAACCUGGGAAUGGCAUUGGAAACUGGCGAUCUAGAGUCCGGAAGAGGAGAGUGGAAUUCCCGGUGUAGCGGUGAAAUGCGCAGAUAUCGGGAAGAACACCUGUGGCGAAGGCAGCUCUCUGGGACGGUACUGACGCUGAGACGCGAAAGCGUGGGGAGCGAACAGG
rnacentral:rRNA from 1 species